GACGAACGCUGGCGGCGUGCUUAACACAUGCAAGUCGAACGGAAAGGCCCUGCUUGUGUGGGGUGCUCGAGUGGCGAACGGGUGUGUAACACGUGAGUAACCUGCCCUUGACUGUGGUAUAACUUCAGGAAACUGGGGCUAAUACCGGAUAGGAGCUCCCGCUGCAUGGUGGGGUUUGGAAAGUUUCGGCGGUUGGGGAUGGACUCGCGGCUUAUCAGCUUGUUGGUGGGGUAGUGGCUUACCAAGGCUUUGACGGGUAGCCGGCCUGAGAGGGUGACCGGCCACACUGGGACUGAGAUACGGCCCAGACUCCUACGGGAGGCAGCAGUGGGGAAUAUUGCACAAUGGGCGGAAGCCUGAUGCAGCAACGCCGCGUGCGGGAUGACGGCCUUCGGGUUGUAAACCGCUUUCGCCUGUGACGAAGCGUGAGUGACGGUAAUGGGUAAAGAAGCACCGGCUAACUACGUG
rnacentral:rRNA from 1 species